AUUGAACGCUGGUGGCAGGCUUAACACAUGCAAGUCGAACGGUAACAGGAAUUAGCUUGCUAAUUUGCUGACGAGUGGCGGACGGGUGAGUAAUGCUUGGGAAUCUGGCUUAUGGAGGGGGAUAACUACGGGAAACUGUAGCUAAUACCGCGUAAAAUCUUCGGAUUAAAGGGUGGGACUUUCGAGCCACCUGCCAUAAGAUGAGCCCAAGUGGGAUUUGGUAGUUGGUUAGGUAAAGGCUGACCAAGCCGACGAUCUCUAGCUGGUCUGAGAGGAUGACCAGCCACACUGGAACUGAGACACGGUCCAGACUCCUACGGGAGGCAGCAGUGGGGAAUAUUGCACAAUGGGGGGAACCCUGAUGCAGCCAUGCCGCGUGAAUGAAGAAGGCCUUCGGGUUGUAAAGUUCUUUCGGUGACGAGGAAGGUUGAUAGGUUAAUAGCCUAUCAAAUUGACGUUAAUCACAGAAGAAGCACCGGCUAACUCCGUG
rnacentral:rRNA from 1 species